rnacentral:rRNA from 1 species
AGUUCAGAUCGCAGUCUGCAACCCGACUGCGUGAAGUCGGAAUCGCUAGUAAUCGCGGAUCAGCAUGCCGCGGUGAAUACGUUCCCGGGCCUUGUACACACCGCCCGUCACACCAUGAGAGUCGGGAACACCCGAAGUCCGUAGCCUAACCGCAAGGGGGGCGCGGCCGAAGGUGGGUUCGAUAAUUGGGGUGAAGUCGUAACAAGGUACC